ACCAAUUCUCAACUUUCUGACCAAGAUAAAGUAUAGUAGCUGUUUUGGUUAGUUUAAUAUCCGAUGCGAUUUUUUUCCGAGGACAGAGUAUUGAAUAGAUUUCUGUAGCGGAGGGUUGAAGCAGAGGUUUGUUCCGUCAAUUCUAUGUAUCGACCUGCUAUUGUAAUACUUCCAAGAACGGUGCACCUCUC